UGGGGAAUAUUGGACAAUGGGCGAAAGCCUGAUCCAGCCAUGCCGCGUGUGUCAAGAAGGUCUUCGGAUUGUAAAGCACUUUAAGUUGGGAGGAAGGGCAGUAAGCGAAUACCUUGCUGUUUUGACGUUACCGACAGAAUAAGCACCGGCUAACUCUGUGCCAGCAGCCGCGGUAAUACAGAGGGUGCAAGCGUUAAUCGGAAUUACUGGGCGUAAAGCGCGCGUAGGUGGUUCGUUAAGUUGAAUGUGAAAGCCCCGGGCUCAACCUGGGAACUGCAUCCAAAACUGGCGAGCUAGAGGAGGGCAGAGGGUGGUGGAAUUUCCUGUGUAGCGGUGAAAUGCGUAGAUAUAGGAAGGAACACCAGUGGCGAAGGCGACCACCUGGGCUCAUACUGACACUGAGGUGCGAAAGCGUGGGGAGCAAACAGG
rnacentral:rRNA from 1 species